rnacentral:rRNA from 1 species
AACGAACGCUGGCGGCAUGCCUAACACAUGCAAGUCGAACGAAGGCUUCGGCCUUAGUGGCGCACGGGUGCGUAACGCGUGGGAAUCUGCCCUUUGGUUCGGAAUAACAGCUGGAAACGGCUGCUAAUACCGGAUGAUGACGAAAGUCCAAAGAUUUAUCGCCAGAGGAUGAGCCCGCGUUGGAUUAGGUAGUUGGUGGGGUAAAGGCCUACCAAGCCGACGAUCCAUAGCUGGUCUGAGAGGAUGAUCAGCCACACUGGGACUGAGACACGGCCCAGACUCCUACGGGAGGCAGCAGUGGGGAAUAUUGGACAAUGGGCGCAAGCCUGAUCCAGCAAUGCCGCGUGAGUGAUGAAGGCCCUAGGGUUGUAAAGCUCUUUUACCCGGGAAGAUAAUGACUGGACCGGGAGAAUAAGCCCCGGCUAACUCCGU